rnacentral:lncRNA from 1 species
CACCACGCUGUCCUUCCUCCCACCCAACCUGUGCCUGGCACUUCUGUCCCCUGCAAUGACAAAUCGGGGGUCCAGGAGGGGGACCUGCCCGUGCUUUGCAGAGGGGACACGAAAACCCAGAGGAAUUUCACCCACACCCCACAUCGACUGGAAAAUGAGGGCUUGGGACCUGCCAUGAGACACGGAUCCAUGAGUAUGGGGGUCCUGUCCAUAGCCCACUGCCACCGGGAGCAGCUGAGCAGGGCCACAUCUUGCUAGCUAUUCGCAGCGGUUAAUUGUACCCUUGACUUCUACCAUUUCUCCGAGAGAAGGAGGUUGUGCAGCCUCUGUUUGUGCCUCCUCCCAGC